UACGUAGGUGGCAAGCGUUGUCCGGAAUUACUGGGUGUAAAGGGCGUGUAGGCGGGAAUAUAAGUCAGAUGUGAAAUCCCUGGGCUCAACCUAGGAGCUGCAUCUGAAACUAUAUUUCUUGAGUGCUGGAGAGGAAAGCGGAAUUCCUAGUGUAGCGGUGAAAUGCGUAGAUAUUAGGAGGAACACCAGUGGCGAAGGCGGCUUUCUGGACAGUAACUGACGCUGAGGCGCGAAAGCGUGGGGAGCAAACAGG
rnacentral:rRNA from 1 species